UACGAAGGGGGCUAGCGUUGCUCGGAAUCACUGGGCGUAAAGCGCACGUAGGCGGCUUUCUAAGUCAGGGGUGAAAUCCUGGAGCUCAACUCCAGAACUGCCUUUGAUACUGGAGAGCUUGAGUCCGGAAGAGGUGAGUGGAACUCCGAGUGUAGAGGUGAAAUUCGUAGAUAUUCGGUAAGAACACCAGUGGCGAAGGCAGCUCUCUGGGACGGUACUGACGCUGAGACGCGAAAGCGUGGGGAGCGAACAGG
rnacentral:rRNA from 1 species